rnacentral:misc_RNA from 1 species
AGAGAGAGAGAGAGAGAGAGGGGGGGAGAGAGAGAGGAGUUUCCUUUGCCUCUUGCACGCACAAUUCUCUCUCCAUCCUCUUUGAUUCCAUUCAACCAAUCAAAGACCCCACAAACCUCCACAUUUCCCCCAACAAUAAUGCCAGCUUCUCCGUCAGAUGGCAGAGGCAAAUGGAAGAGGCGAAAGCGGGAGCCUCAAAUCACUCGAAAGCAACACCCCAAACUCGAAGACCCUGAUGAUGAAGACGAAGACGACGCCUUUGAGGAAGAUAACAACAAUAAUGACCACCUCGAUGACGAUUCUGAGGGCCCCAACCCCAACCCAAACCUUCCUCAAUCUGCUGCUCUUCCUGAUCCCAACCA